UAUCUUGCACUGAUAAGCACCGGACCUGAACAGGGGCAGGAGAUGAGCAAUUUGUUCAUCUUAACAAGAUGCGGCGUGUGACGGGUCUACUCCUUAAUCAACUAAGUGACGCCUGGGGUGAGGGGGAGCCUCCUUCGCAGCUCGACCUUACUUUGGUAAAACUAAACAGACCACCGCUCCUCUGGACUGAACACGUUUGUUCUCCGCCACUUCCCCCCCCCAGCCCCGACCAACUGCACAACAAGCCUUGUUAAGGGCCAAUCAGCACACAAUACCUGACUUAGUCCCACCUCGCCAAAAGUAUAAAUCUGGCAUUUAGAAUCCUCUUUUUUGAGGACGAGAACUCCAACUAUCUGGACGGGUCGACGGGCCUGGACCUCUCUCUCCUCCCCAAGCAGGGACGCCUCUUUGGUGCCACGGCACGAUUUGGAUUCCCGCACGACACCCUCGAGUGAGGUUUUUGUGGAGUAUCCAAGUAACAGCGAAGGAGCGGUGCAGUUAGCAAGGCAUCUUCCCUGGUCCCUGCCUAUGAGCGCUAACUCUACAGAGUCAGGCGGAGCGGCGAUGCUGUCUUAAGGGACAGGGCAGGGAAUCAGAGUAGCUAUCCAGGUGACUGCAAGCUGCACGUGUUUGGCCGGGGGUUUGAAUCGGAGGAUCCAGAUUCCAUUGUAGUAGAAAGCUCUGGAAUGAGAAAAAUGUUAAGCGAAGCAGGAGAGAUUGACUGGCAAUGUGCCUGAGCCAAUAACUGUCAUUGCUCUGAGUCCUUGCUGUGGUGAUAGUGCAUCACUGGAAACCUAUGUAUUAAUGCCUAAUGUUGUUGUUCUUUAAAGAAAGUAACAAUAAAGGUGAAGUAAU